GAGAAAUGGAAGCAUUUAGGCAAAAACAAGGGAGUUAUUUUAUGCAUGAACAUCUAUUCUUUGGGGGUCCUAUCAUAUGUGCCAGGGACAGAAGAAUUCUUUUUCUUCCAACACCCAUAAUCAGUGCUCCCAGCUGGCAGCCUGGUGCUGGUGUCUUUGUCUCCGUGUCAGUGCAGUCACAGUGAUCUGUGGGUGGCUGGCUCUUAGUAAGCACAACUUUGUUCCUAAGGGAAACAAUCAACCGCCGAUUUCGUGUAUGUUCCCCUAUGGAACGCCCUCGUGAUGGGCAGACAAUAUGGUGGGCUUUUCCUGGGCAGUUCCUAGAACUUAGGAAACCGUUUCUUCCAAGUCGUGACCUUAUGCCCACUUACCCUGCCCCAGUGGUUGUGCUCAGACCUCUCGCCAGCCAGCAGUGGCCCAGGGGGAUGGAAACACCCACUAAGCAGUGUGCCAAGCCAGGAGGUCAGCAUGUGAGCACACAGCAGUGUCUGCCCUCUAGGCCAAGGUGCACAGACAGCUGGAGUUUUGGGGGCCUUUGCCCCACUCUCCAAAUCAGCCUAGAAACCAGAGCUCCUCCUCUUAGUGAAACAGAUGGCUGUGGGCAAUUAGAGCCCUGAACUGCUCAGUGUGUUCCUUCCGUUCUCCCCCUCCCCCAAAAAUCACACAUCCCACUUGCUCUCAAUUACAGGAUCUGAGACCACAAAGCUCCACAGAGGUCACAGCUGCUGCAGGUCCUGCAUCCCUUCCUCUUUCUGGCUUCUGCAAACUCGCCACUCACCUGAGGGAGCCCCUAGUGUGGUAGCUUGGAAACCCAAGGAAGAACUGAAGGGAGCUCAAAGCCUCUCAAAGACAGCGAACACGUGGCUGCCUUCUUUUCUGUCCUGUCCUCUUCUGUGUGGAUCCUUUGAGGUGAGGAGAGGCCCACUGGUGAGUCCCUGAGAUGUGGUAACUGAGGUGACUGUCACUCGGCGCUCCUGGGGUCUCCCUUAUCCUUGGCUGGGUGGCCUCCAAAGCAGGCCCUUACCUUUUAAUGCGGUCUUAUCUUUAAAAGUGGGCCCACACCCACUCACCCCACUCACCCACAGCCCUGCAGAC
rnacentral:lncRNA from 1 species